UUCCCGGGGAUACGCCCGCGAAAGGCGGAUUAAUACCCCAUGGACCCUUAGCCCGCAUGGGGCGGAGGGUAAAGCUCCGGCGGGAAUGGAUGGGCAUGCGUGCCAUUAGCUGGUUGGUGGGGUAACGGCCCACCAAGGCUACGAUGGCUAGGGGGUCUGGGAGGAUGAUCCCCCACACUGGUACUGAGACACGGACCAGACUCCUACGGGAGGCAGCAGUGAGGAAUAUUGGUCAAUGGGCGGAAGCCUGAACCAGCCAUGCCGCGUGCAGGACGACGGCCCUACGGGUUGUAAACUGCUUUUCCGGGGGAAGAAUAACCCCCCUGCGGGGGGGGAUGCCGGUACCCCGGGAAUAAGGAUCGGCUAACUCCGUGCCAGCAGCCGCGGUAAUACGGAGGAUCCUAGCGUUAUCCGGAUUUACUGGGUUUAAAGGGUGCGUAGGCGGGCGUUUAAGUCCGCGGUGAAAAGUCUGCGGCUCAACCGUAGGAUUGCCGUGGAUACUGGACGUCUUGGAUUCGGUCGGGGCGGGCGGAAUGCGUGGUGUAGCGGU
rnacentral:rRNA from 1 species